rnacentral:rRNA from 1 species
UACGUAGGGGGCAAGCGUUGUCCGGAAUCAUUGGGCGUAAAGAGCGUGUAGGCGGCUCGGUAAGUCCGCUGUGAAAGUCCAGGGCUCAACCCUGGAAAGCCGGUGGAAACUGUCGAGCUCGAGUCCGGAAGAGGCGAGUGGAAUUCCUGGUGUAGCGGUGAAAUGCGCAGAUAUCAGGAGGAACACCAAUGGCGAAGGCAGCUCGCUGGGACGGCACUGACGCUGGAGACGCGAAAGCGUGGGGAGCAAACAGG